rnacentral:rRNA from 1 species
AUUGAACGCUGGCGGCAGGCUUAACACAUGCAAGUCGAGCGAGAGGCGGACGGGUGAGUAAUGUCUGGGCAACUGCCUGAUGGAGGGGGAUAACUACUGGAAACGGUAGCUACUACCGCAUACCAUCAGAUGUGCCCAGAUGUGAUUGGCUAGUAGGUGGGGUAAUGGCUCACCUAGGCGACGAUCCCUAGCUGGUCUGAGAGGAUGACCAGCCACACUGGAACUGAGACACGGUCCAGACUCCUACGGGAGGCAGCAGUGGGGAAUAUUGCAAAAUGGGUGCAAGCCUGAUGCAGCCACGCCGCGUGUGUGAAGAAGGCCUUCGGGUUGUAAAGCACUUUCAGCGAGGAGGCGUUACUCGCAGAAGAAGCACCGGCUAACUCCGUGCCAGCAGCAGCGGUAAUUC